GCACUAAAAGCUACUAACAAUGGAAACCUGAUGUCAAACUGCAAUGUCACAUUGACAAUAUUGUACUUACAUUGGGAAUAUGAGCUCUUUGAAGAUAUUUUCAUAUUUUUAAAAUGUAUUUAUUGUCUUUCACCAGACCUGGGUCAGAGCCAAAAGCCAGAUAACAGACCACAGGGACCAUGUUGCUGAAAAGCUCUUGCUGUUGCCAAGUGCCCUUUCUGCAGAAACACUUCCCUUGACAGUUCUGUCUUGCAGUUGGUGGUUGCCAGCUCCUGGCAGACCCUGGGAGGUAGUGUGAUGGUUCAAGUGACUGGAUGCCUGCCAGGGCCACCACAGGAGAGACAUGAAUUGAACUUUUAGCUUCCAGUGUGGACCACAGACCCAGGACUGUUGCAGUCAUUUAGCUACAGACCUUGCUUGAAGCUAACAGACCCCAAAAUACCCCUCUUUUAGCCCUGAAUAGGGAGCUGCAUUGAUGGAAAAAUAAAUGAGUCUGUUGAGUGAUCUCUCCCUUGCUUGUACCUGUGAAGAGCUUCCUGUUGUCUUAGAACGUGAUCUUCAUUAAGACCUUAUUAAGACCAUUUCUUAUUCCCAAGAUGUAACUGAUUGCAAGAAGAGAGACUGAUCACAUUGGACUGCAGAAAAUCCAGAGACUCAUCACCUGCUCAGCAAAGUCAGUUCUAGCACUCGGGAGCUCCAGGCAGCUUGAUCAGGGGUGUGGGUGGGGGUAGGGAGUUGGCUGUUACGGGCCCCCCAAGUUGAGGGAAAGAAGGAUUGUAGACAAAGUCUUCCAGGAAGCCUUACUGAAGAGAAAGAAAAGAGACACAAUUGAAAAGGUGGGCUUUGGACUGUAUGGUCUAGAGAAAUGCUUCUAAUUCACAGUGCUGUGAUAACAUGACUAAGCAUGAUUUAGGAUACUACAAAUAUAUUGAAUUUUCAAAAUAUACAAAGACACUUGCUGAUAACAUUUUUCUUGAUGGAAGCAUUUUACAUUUUUAACAUGUGAUUUGUUUUAGCACAGUUUUAUAUUUACAGCUGCAAACAUAGCACAGGAGGUCCCCACCUGCCUGCCCCCAGCGUCUCCUGAUGUCAUCAUCUUAUACUACAGUGACACCUUUACCAAAAGAAGCCACAGCACUGUUAACUAAGCCCCAAUUUCUGUUCACACUUUCCCUAGUGUUUCCACCAAUGUCCUUUUCUGCUCAGGAUCCAGUGCAUGCCAGUCUCCUCUGAUGUUCUGAGUUUGUGAUGCCCUGUGUUUCUGAGGUGUGUUAGUCAGGUGCUGGUGUAAAAACCCCUUGGUUGGACUUUGCUGUUGCUUAAAUUAUGCUGAAUUCCAUCUU